rnacentral:siRNA from 1 species
UCGCUGCAAAACCUAGGGCGC